rnacentral:rRNA from 1 species
GAACCCCUGUUAGGGGAGUGAAAUAGUACCUGAAACCGUUUGCUUACAAGCAGUGGGAGUCUAAGAGCUUACAGUUUAGAAAAAAAAGCUUGAAACCAGUUUAUCUGGUUUCUUUUUUAUUGUUCAAUUUUUAGUUAAUUUUUAACUGACUUUUGAUCAAUAUAGCUUAAUUUCUGGUUUACACUCUCUAAGUCUCUGGAUGACCGCGUGCCUUUUGCAUAAUGAGUCAGCGAGUUACUUAAUGC